UACGUAGGGUGCAAGCGUUGUCCGGAAUUAUUGGGCGGAAAGAGCUCGUAGGCGGUUUGUCGCGUCUGCUGUGAAAACUCGGGGCUUAACUCCGGGCCUGCAGUGGGUACGGGCAGACUAGAGUGCGGUAGGGGAGACUGGAAUUCCUGGUGUAGCGGUGAAAUGCGCAGAUAUCAGGAGGAACACCGGUGGCGAAGGCGGGUCUCUGGGACGGUACUGACGCUGAGACGCGAAAGCGUGGGGAGCGAACAGG
rnacentral:rRNA from 1 species